rnacentral:lncRNA from 1 species
GUAACUUGCUCUUCAAUAUCCUGGAUGGGAGUGCCUUUCAUGAGACUGCACUGGUUCAAGCUUCCUCUAAAUUCUAAUGUGAUCUGGUUGGACUAAAUGCCAACCAUGCUUCCCAACAUGAAAUGUAAGAGACAGCUGAAGGAGGAGCAAAAGAAAAUACCAUGUCCAGAAACUAGUCAGCAAAAUGGAGGUGAGGAAAUCUGCACAACAACCGCAACAUACAGAACAACUACUUUUACAAUGAGUAGCUUGUCAAUGGACUGGAAUGUGGAUAUAUGAAAGGAAUAUCUCUGCAUCUUUGUAGGCAGGAUCAAACCCAGUGUAAACCAUAGCUUGUGGCAUAUUGUGUUUCUUUCUUUUUCCAGCUGCACCAUCUUUUUGGUUAUCAUUAGGUUAUAGUUCCUUUUUUUACUUGUAAUAUUCGUUCUUUUAGUUCACAUGAUUUAAUACAUCAGAUGCCCAAAGGCAUUAGGGAACAAAGUAUGUUCAUAAGGGGAUUUUUCUUUGCUUAAAAUUUUUACUUCAGGCAGAUAAACAGAAGCGCUCCCAAAACGUUAUUAACAGAAUAUCGGUCUAGUCUUCCAUGAGCAUUGUAUCACUGUGUUUUGCUAACAUGUAUCAUAAACCACCAUAUGGAAGUGAUAUCCAGCGCUGAACACUGAUAAUAUAGAAGGGAAAAUACUGUUUCUCUUACGAAUGUGUUUGAAAUAUGGUUUAAAAUAUAAAGUUAUGUUCUAUAGUUUCUGCUAAUAUGUAUGUUUAUCAGUGACAUGUGCAAAUUGUUUUUUUUAUAAUACCGGCUCAUAUUCUGUAUUAUUUCUUUCUGAGAAUUUACAAAUAUUUUCACCAGACUUGGUUUCUGCUAGUAUGAGUAUAGCUGUUGUCUGAUUGAUCAAGUCAUUGUUCAAGCUUAAUAUAAUCCUUUUUUGCUCAAUACUGUCCAAGUAAUCCACUGUAAUGGUAUACAGAAACUGAGACUUUUUGGGGGAUGGCAUUGUUGUAUGACAAAUCCAUGUUGUGGGGAUCCAUGAAGAUCACAGAAAAAUAAGCUGAUUUUGAUGUGCUGAGUUUGGUGAGAUCAAGAAAAAUUAU